rnacentral:rRNA from 1 species
UACGUAGGGGGCAAGCGUUGUCCGGUUUCAUUGGGCGUAAAGAGCGUGUAGGCGGCCAGGUAGGUCGGUUGUGAAAACUGGAGGCUCAACCUUCAGAGGUCGACCGAAACCAUCUGGCUAGAGUCCGGGAGAGGAGAGUGGAAUUCCUGGUGUAGCGGUGAAAUGCGCAGAUAUCAGGAAGAACACCCGUGGCGAAGGCGGCUCUCUGGGACGGUACUGACGCUGAGACGCGAAAGCGUGGGGAGCGAACAGG